CUGCAGCCCGCCGCCGGCGGCUGAGUCACAGCCCCGCCCCGCCCCGCCCCGCGCCCCAGCCGCCCCCUGCAGUUUGCCCAUCUGAUGGGCGGAAUCGAGGCUCCGGGCAGAUCCGAUCUCCUGCCUGGUGAAUAAGGUGGGGCUGCAGCUGGCGGACACGUGAGUGGAAAAGUCCUCAGAGUGAAGCCUGGGAUGGGAAGGCGGCAGCUAUGGAUGGCCAGAGAGCACCGCCUGGAGAACUAGGGUCUGUCCUUGACUGCUACGUGACCUCAAGCCAGUGGCCUUCCCUCUCUGGCCUUUCUUUGUUUGCUUUUUUGUUUUUUGAAACAGGGUCUUGCUGUGUAGUUCAGGGUGGCCUGGGAUUACAGGUGUGUGCCACCAUGCCCGGCCCUUCCCUGGCCCUUCUGUUAUUGGCUUGAGAAUGUACCUUGGUCUUCUGGCCUUGUUUACCCGGAGCAGAGUACUUUACCUGUCCGUCUCGGGCCAAUCUCUAUUUCCUUCUUGGAAAAUCAGGCUUAAUAUCUGCCCUUCGAGGUCAUGGUGAAGAAAAAUGAUAAGAAAAAUUCCUUACGGACUCCCUAGGAUGUCUUCAUGGACGAAGUGUAGGUCCAGCAGCAGGAUGCACUGCAGGAGCUGAGCUGAGCCCCUUCAGGGUGCCAUGAUGGACAACACUGCCCUUGGUUCCUCCUCAGCAUUCCUAGCAGAGAUUCCUCCCUUGGGGUGCAGAGGGCAGCCUUCACCCAAGACCACCCAGCUGAGGAAAGACCCCUCCCCAUUGUCUUGCCCCCUGUACCAUCAGCUACCUGACAGCACAGCCACCUCCCAGGUGCUGCAUGGAGAGCACGUGUGCCACCACCAACUGAUAGCUAAGCUCCUGGCCGCGCAUGUGUGUGAUUUCUCACCAGUCCGUCAGCAGAUGGCCGAAGUUCAUCAGUCCUCAGCAUCGUACACCUUGCUCCACCUCUGUGCAACAGCUUGAGGAAUUCUUCUAGAAAGAACUCCAGGCCAGAAGUCUAGACCCGUGUCCCCUUCUGUGCACUGUGACAUUCUGGCAGCUCCCUGGCAUUCUCUAGGCCUCAGUCUCCCUAGCAGAUGGAGAUUAUUGCUUUCCAGGCUUGCUGGCUUUCUGUGGUGUUAAUGGUUUGAGAGACAUGAAAGUGGUGUUCACACCAGAGAAUUACAAGAGUAAUUCCCUCCCUCUCUUCCUGGAAUGUUUAAUGACCAGGUGUGGCCCAGUGUGCAUAAGCUGGGGGCUGGGGCUUUCCAGGGCACAGCCCUCCCUACCUCCCCGUGCUCUGCUCAGGCUUCCAGCUCCUGUUUGAUGCCUCCCCACUUUAAACAGGCCCCGCAUCCUCACUGUAAGGAGAGCACCUCCAUGUAAUUGUAGCUGUCCCCCACACCAGCUGUCUUCUGUAUGUGCACACAUGGACCAAAAGCUAAAAUGAACUGGCCACGCUUCUCUGAGAGAAGAGCAGAAGGUAAAGGGUAUUUUAGCUACUGUAGCUUAAAGCCUUCAUUUUAAUUUUUUUUAAGCAAGCAUGAAUUGUUUAUAUUUACAAGUUUUGGAUGACGUUGAUAGA